UGUACUGCGCAUGUGUGGCAUUUCACGACAUUACAGCACAUUUUGUGAUAUUUAGGAAUAACUUGUACACCGUAUGUAGAAGUAUGUAACUUCUGUUAUUUACAGCAUCAGUUACCACAGCAUCAUUUUGGAGAAAUUUCUGUUCACUCUUCUUUACAACAUUGCUUCAGUUCAUUGAUAUUUAAGGGCAUUCUUUUAUGUACAGCUCUCUUAAUAUCCUGCCACAGCAUCUCAAUGGGGUUGAGGUCUGGACUUUGACUUGGUCAUUCCAACACCUUGGUUUUUGUCUUCUUUAGCCAUUCAGAUGUCGAUUUGCUGGUGUGCUUGGGAUCAUUGUCUUGUUGGAUGACCAAAUCUUGGGCCCAGCUUAAGCUGUUUGACAGAUGGCUUCACAUUUGUCUCAAGAAUAUUCUAGUAUAAAGUGGAGUUCAUUGUUGUUUCAGUGACUGCAAGUUUCCCAGGUCCUGUGGCUGUGGUUCAUGACCCCUCCACCAAGAUUCAUGACAGUUAAUCUGAGGUGUUUGUUGUGAUAUGCUGUACAUGAUGACCAAACAUCUCCACCUUGGUCUCAACAGUCCAAAGGAUAUAGUUCCAAAACUUUUGUAGUUUGUUCAGAUGCAAUUUUGCAAACCUAAGUCAUGCUGUCAUAAUCUUCUUGGAGAGAAGAGGAUUUUUUCUGAUUGUGCUGUCAUGAACAUAAACAUUUAUUGCACUUACAGAGGCCUGUGGGUCACAUGAUGUCAGUCUUUUUUUUUUUUAAUAUCUCUGAGCAUUAAACAGUCUGACCUUGGACUGAAUUUUAUGGGAAGUUUGGCAACUGUCUUGAAGGCUCUCCAUUUGUAAACAGAAUUUCAAAUUGUUUGGAGAUGGCCUUAUAACCCUUCCCAGACUGAAGAGCAGCAACAGUUGCUUCUAUGAGGUCAUGGCUGAUGUUCUUUCUUCUUGGCAUGAUGUAGACACACACCUGAGUGAUCCAGAACACCAAACUAACAAAGGGUCUGCUUUUAUAGAGAUAUCUGCAGUCUACUGUCUGUGUGGAGUUUCACAUUUUCUUCUCCUGACCAUGUGACCAGGUUCUCCGCUUUCCUCCCCCCUUCCCAAAAGCAUACGGGUAGGUGCAUUGGCUAUGCUAAAUCGUCCCUGGGUGUGAAUGUGUUUGUGCAUGGUGCUCAGUGAUGGACUGGUGUCUGAUCCAGGGUAAAUUCCACCUCACACUCAGUCUUCCUGGAAAAGGCUCUGGAUCCAUCAUAACCCUGACCAGGAUGAGAUGAAUGAAUGAAUGGCCAUUUCCAAUCUUUCUUUAUCCAUCCGAAUUAACAGGCUAAUUGUUUUACUGUGGCUUUAUGACUAUUUGUAAGCUAUAUGUAAAUGAACUGAAAUGCCUCAUAACUGAAAUGAGGUACACCAAGCCCCCAUCUGUAACACCUACGGAACUGUGUAGGAAAAUCUGAGAGAUUAGCAAAUACUUCUACUCAAAUGCAGCCUUAUAUAUGUUUAAUCCAAAAAUAUUAGCAAAUUUUAGUCCAAGACAAAAGCUAGCAGCUCUGACAUUACUCUAAUACUACAACAAUGAGUUUUAUCAUUUUCAGCAUAGUUAACUAGUUCAAACUUGUUAAAAUGAUUGAAAAACAGGUGAAUAUUAAUUUUAUUGUUCGGGAAUUGAUGACUAGCUAUAUAAUUAACUAGUGAUGGCUUUUCCAGCUUUGUUGAAAAAUGGGUCAUUUCUCCCAGGCUUCAGGUGUUCACUAGAGUCCUCCAGUGGUUAAAAAAAUAUAGGCUCGUAUACCAUAUAAAACUGCUUUUUGGUGACACCACAGCAAAGAGAAUUCUCGAAAGUGUAUCAUAGCAUAGACAUGAACUUUCAGUUUUUUGCACUAUUACCUCUUAAAUUGUAUCACUCAAUUUGCACUCUUCAUUCCAUGUGCAAUCUGAAUUGUGCAAUACCUUUUCUCUCACCCAUGUGAAAUCUCUCCCUAAGUUGCUGUCUUGUAUGUUGUCCCUGUUCAUUUAUUGUAUGCAUUUACGUUAACAAUUUCACUCUUUAUUCUGGUAACAUUUGACAAUAACGCAAACUCAAUCGUAUAAUCCUAUUAAUUGCAAGUUGCUGUCAUUGAUGUAAUAAUGUGUGGAAGAUUAAAAUCCACUAAAGAACAGUGUGCUUCUGAA